GAUGAAGAACGCAGCGAAAUGCGAUAAGUAGUGUGAAUUGCAGAAUUCAGUGAAUCAUCGAAUCUUUGAAGGCACAUUGCGCCCCUUGGUAUUCCAUGGGGCAUGCCUGUUCGAGCGUCAUUUGUACCUUCAAGCUUUGCUUGGUGUUGGGUGUUUGUCUCGCCUUUGCGUGUAGACUCGCCUUAAAAUAAUUGGCAGCCGGCGUAUUGAUUUCGGAGCGCAGUACAUCUCGCGCUUUGCACUCAUAACGACAGCGUCCAAAAGUACAUUUUACACUCUUGACCUCGGAUCAGGUAGGGAUACCCGCUGAACUUAAGCAUAUCAAUAAGCGGAGGA
rnacentral:misc_RNA from 1 species